UUUUUAUUGAGAGUUUGAUCCUGGCUCAGGACGAACGCUGGCGGUAUGCUUAACACAUGCAAGUCGAACGAGAAGGUUUUGAAUGAUCCUUCGGGUGAAAUUAGAACUGGAAAGUGGCGAACGGGUGAGUAACGCGUGGGUAACCUGCCCUAUGGAAAGGAAUAGCCUCGGGAAACUGGGAGUAAAGCCUUAUAUUAUGGUUUUGUCGCAUGGCAAGAUCAUGAAAACUCCGGUGCCAUAGGAUGGACCCGCGUCCCAUUAGCUAGUUGGUGAGAUAACAGCCCACCAAGGCGACGAUGGGUAACCGGUCUGA
rnacentral:rRNA from 1 species